rnacentral:rRNA from 1 species
ACUCACGGCAGUAUAUAAGCAGGCACUGCUUAGCCUGAUCGUCAAGCUAACUACAGCAAAGCAAGCGAGCACCACAACCUCGUAUUCAGAUUUCUAGAUAGACAGGAUCAGAUUAACCAGAAGAUGAUGCAGGCCACCGUUGCCUUGUCGGCCGUGCUGACUGUCGCCGUAAGGGGCAGGCCGGCGGCGAGGAGGAGGAGCGCCACCGUGGCCGCCGGCGGCAGAAGGAUGCCGGGCGGUGCCGUUCGUGCAUCGGCCGCCGCGGCGCCGGAGGCGGACUACAGCUCCAGCGUCUCGGUGUUCCCCAUGGAGGCCUGCGACCUGGUCGGCGGCGAGGCCUGCGACGCGCAGAUGUACCCGGAGACGAAGCUCGGCGCCGGCGCCGGUGGCCCGGCUGCCGCCGUCGCGAGGGCGCCGGAGGUGGAGAGGGAGUACCUAUCCUACGACGAGCCAAAAACGGUGUUCCCGGACGAGGCGUGCGACGAUCUCGGCGGCGAGUUCUGCGAGGCGCCCUACCAAACCAGCAAGUAACUAACUCAAGCAGCUACUACGAACUACUAUUAGUGUAAAAAACGCUCUUAUUCUCAGCAGAGGUCGAUCGAUGUAUAUCAUGUGAAUAAGCAAAAACAUGCUGCUACGCUGCUGCCUGUACUGUAUUAUUGCACAUAAACGAAAUGCAGUCAUCAAUUCGUUCGUCUUAAAUUCUUAAUCCUUCUGUUCCAGUGAACUUAAAUCAACGGAAAAAUAAUUUACAACUAAAAAACGUAAUUUCAUUUAUAGAAACCCGCCCGUUAAAAAUUAAAGGUGAGAUAGUUGCGGCGGUUUUCAAUAAAAAAAAGAUAAAAAAAUUCCUUAGAAAAAAAAAGAGAUAAUAAUCCCGAUCAAUCGAGUCCGCUUCCGAUCCCAACUACGAUCGGCCCGUCCAUCCUAUUCUACCUACAUAUACGCUGGCGAUCGAUCGAUCUAUCGAUCCUGCCCAGCAAAUCAAGCAAGCAAGAGUGCAAAACCUACGCGAUUCCGAUCGAUCCAGCAGUAACCAAACUGCUAGAACGCGAUCGAUGGCGGCCGACUUGGACCUGGACGACGUGAUCCAGCGCCUGCUGGACGCGGAGGCGCCCCUCAGCUCGCCGUCCGCCGCCCCGCCGCUGAAAGCCGAGGAGAUCCGGCACCUCUGCGCGGCCGCCAAGGAGCUCCUCCUCAAGCAGCCGACGCUGCUCCAGCUCUCCGCCCCCGUCAACAUCUGCGGCGACAUCCACGGCCAGUACCCCGACCUCCUCCGCCUCUUCCGCGAGAUCGGGCCGCCCUCCGCCGCCAACCGCUACCUCUUCCUCGGCGACUACGUCGACCGGGGCACGCAGAGCAUCGAGACCAUCUGCCUCCUCCUCGCCUACAAGCUCAAGUACCCGGACGCCUUCUUCCUCCUCCGCGGCAACCACGAGUGCGCCGCCGUCAACAAGCAGUACGGCUUCUACUCCGAGUGCGCCUCCCGCGGCCGCCGCAUAGUCAGGCUCUGGGAGGAACUCAACGCCGUAUUCGCCUGCCUCCCGCUGGCGGCGCUCGUCGGCUGCGAGGGUAGUAACAAGAACAAGAAGAAGAAGAUCCUGUGCGUGCACGGCGGGCUCUCGCCGGAGCUCGAGAGCCCGGACCAGAUCCGCCAGAUCAAGCGCCCGCUGGCCGACGUCCCCGAGCACGGGCUCGUGUGCGACCUGCUGUGGUCGGACCCCGCCGCGGACGGCGACGAUUGGGGGUGGGGGGACCCGCGCAGGUGCACGUCCUUCACCUUCGGCGCCGACGUGGUGGAGGAGUUCUGCGAGAGGCACGGGCUGGCCAUGGUGUGCAGGGCGCACGAGAUGAAGGACGGCGGGUACGACCAAGGGUUCGCCGGCGGGAAGCUUGUCACCGUGUUCUCUGCACCCAACUACUGCGGCAAGUGCGGCAACGACGGCGCCGUCAUGACCGUCGCCGGUGACCUCGCCUGCUCCUUCCGCGUCUUCCACCCUGAGAAUACUGCCACUCCUCCUCCGGCUCCUAUUUAUCUUUAGUCCAACAUGUAUAUUCAUGUCAGUUUCAGAGUGUAAUCUCCAGCUCGUUGUGUCUUCGUGUUCAGAGUGAAUUUCAGUUUUCGAAUGUAUUGCAGGAUUUUAUCCCAUUUAGCGAAAGUUUUACUAGAUUUACCACAUAUAAAUUUUCGAGAGU